rnacentral:rRNA from 1 species
CCUACGGGUGGCAGCAGUGGGGAAUAUUGCUCAAUGGGCGAAAGCCUGACGCAGCGACGCCGCGUGAGGGAUGAAGGUCUUCGGAUUGUACACCUCUUUUAGUAGGGAAGAACGGUCACUGUGCUAAUCAGCAGCGAAUUUACGGUACCUGCAAAGGAAGCACCGGCUAACACCGUGCCAGCAGCCGCGGUAAUACGGAGGGUGCCAGCGUUAAUCGGAAUUACUGGGCGUAAAGCGCUCGUAGGCGGUAUGUCAAGUCAAGGGUGAAAUCCCCGCGCUCAACGUGGGAACUGCCUUUGAAACUGGCAAACUGGAGUGUGUGAGAGGAUAGUGGAAUGCCAGGUGUAGGAGUGAAAUCCGUAGAUAUCUGGAGGAACAUCAGUGGCGAAGGCGACUAUCUGGCACAUAACUGACGCUGAGGAGCGAAAGCGUGGGUAGCAAACAGGAUUAGAUACCCGAGUAGUC